rnacentral:rRNA from 1 species
AGCAGCCGCGGUAAUUCCAGCUCCAAUAGCGUAUAUUAAAGUUGUUGCAGUUAAAAAGCUCGUAGUUGAAUUUCGGGGUUCUACCGUUGGUCGGGCUUUGUCUGUACUGUCGUGUAGAAUUUCUACCUUCUGGGGAACUAUCAUGUUAUUAAUUUAGCGUGGUAGGAAACCAGAACCUUUACCUUGAAAAAAUUAGAGUGUUCAAAGCAGGCUUAUGUCUGAAUACAUUAGCAUGGAAUAAUAAAAUAGGACGGUGGUCCUGUUUUGUUGGUUUCUGAAUCACCGUAAUGAUUAAUAGGGAUAGUUGGGGGCAUUAGUAUUCAAUUGUCAGAGGUGAAAUUCUUGGAUUUAUUGAAGACUAACUACUGCGAGAGCAUUUGCCAAGGAUGUUUUCAUUAAUCAAGAACGAAAGUUAGGGGAUCGAAGACGAUCAGAUACCGUCGUAGUCUUAACCAUAAACUAUGCCGACUAGGGAUCGGAUGAUGUUAAUUUUUAAUGUACUCAUUCGGCGCCUUACGGG